AUUGAACGCUGGCGGCAUGCUCUACACAUGCAAGUCGAACGGUAACAGGCCGCAAGGUGCUGACGAGUGGCGAACGGGUGAGUAAUGCAUCGGAACGUGCCCAGUCGUGGGGGAUAACUACUCGAAAGAGUAGCUAAUACCGCAUACGAUCUAUGGAUGAAAGCGGGGGACCGUAAGGCCUCGCGCGAUUGGAGCGGUCGAUGUCAGAUUAGGUAGUUGGUGGGGUAAAGGCUCACCAAGCCAACGAUCUGUAGCUGGUCUGAGAGGACGACCAGCCACACUGGGACUGAGACACGGCCCAGACUCCUACGGGAGGCAGCAGUGGGGAAUUUUGGACAAUGGGCGCAAGCCUGAUCCAGCAAUGCCGCGUGCAGGAAGAAGGCCUUCGGGUUGUAAACUGCUUUUGUACGGAACGAAACGGCUCUGGUUAAUACCCGGGGCUAAUGACGGUACCGUAAGAAUAAGCACCGGCUAACUACGUG
rnacentral:rRNA from 1 species